GCUUCCUCCUGAGUCAGGCAGAGGAGAGGAAGCAGGCAGAGCAGCAGGUGAGAGAGACUUUCCUCUGGAUACUCCCAAGGGGCUCCGAACAUGAGUGAGAGUAUCUGAAAAUUCUCUAUUAAUAUACCAUCCUUUUUUGGAAAGCAGCCCUUGAAUAUUAUCAGAUUGCCCUUCAGUUUUUGCCUCUGUCAUUCCUUUUCUAACUCUUCUUCAUAUUCUCUGUUUUGAAUCUUUGUUGCUAUUUCAGAGACAGGAUCUGUUUGCAGAAAUGGGCCCAGAUUCCUCUGAGACCAAAAGGACUCCAUUGGACACGAGAGAGAGGCUGCUGGGUAAGGAAGGAGUCCGUUCUCCGUUUGGUCCCUUUCUGUGGAUAUCAGAACAAAUCCAUGGGUUCUUGUCAUCUUUUUUUGGGGGGGGGGGAGGAAGACACCAAGAGCACCAAGGAAGGGAGAUGUAUUUUUUAACCCAACUAAAUUAUGAAAUGGGUCCAAAUGUCCAGAUGCACUCAGAAGGUGAGACCUUUUGGAGAGCAGCUGCACUCCUGGCUUCCCACUUACCUCUGUCUCUCACAGGUGACCAGAUGAUGCCAGCAAGACCUCCUCUUCCAUCUAUUCCUGGUGGUGAAGGAGAAGCAACGGCUGUGGAAGCAGCUCAGGUAGAGGGAGGGAGCCCUGUGGGGAAGGGGGCUGAGGGGGGGGGCAGCCAGGGUGCCUCUGGCCCCCAAGGAAUCUCUCUCCUCCUCUUGGCUUCUGUCCAAGCUUCUCUGAAGACGUCUUUGUCAAGGGCAGCCUAGACAGAAGCCAAGAGGCUGGGAAUGCCAUUCGAGAAGCUUAAUGUGCUG